rnacentral:rRNA from 1 species
CCCGUACUUGGUGUUACUGCGAAGGGGGGACGGAGAAGGCUAUGUUGGCCGGGCGACGGUAGUCCCGGUUUAAGCGUGUAGGUGUGUGUUCCAGGUAAAUCCGGUUCACUUUAACACUGAGGCGUGAUGACGAGGCACCACGGUGCUGAAGCAACAAAUGCCCUGCUUCCAGGAAAAGCCUCUAAGCAUCAGGUAACAUCAAAUCGUACCCCAAACCGACACAGGUGGUCAGGUAGAGAAUACCAAGGCGCUUGAGAGAACUCGGGUGAAGGAACUAGGCAAAAUGGUGCCGUAACUUCGGGAGAAGGCACGCUGACACGUAGGUGAAGUGAUUUACUCAUGGAGCUGAAGUCAGUCGAAGAUACCAGCUGGCUGCAACUGUUUAUUAAAAACACAGCACUGUGCAAACACGAAAGUGGACGUAUACGGUGUGACGCCUGCCCGGUGCCGGAAGGUUAAUUGAUGGGGUCAGCGCAAGCGAAGCUCCUGAUCGAAGCCCCGGUAAACGGCGGCCGUAACUAUAACGGUCCUAAGGUAGCGAAAUUCCUUGUCGGGUAAGUUCCGACCUGCACGAAUGGCGUAAUGAUGGCCAGGCUGUCUCCACCCGAGACUCAGUGAAAUUGAACUCGCUGUGAAGAUGCAGUGUACCCGCGGCAAGACGGAAAGACCCCGUGAACCUUUACUAUAGCUUGACACUGAACAUUGAGCCUUGAUGUGUAGGAUAGGUGGGAGGCUUUGAAGCGUGGACGCCAGUCUGCGUGGAGCCGACCUUGAAAUACCACCCUUUAAUGUUUGAUGUUCUAACGUGGACCCGUAAUCCGGGUUGCGGACAGUGUCUGGUGGGUAGUUUGACUGGGGCGGUCUCCUCCUAAAGAGUAACGGAGGAGCACGAAGGUUGGCUAAUCCUGGUCGGACAUCAGGAGGUUAGUGCAAUGGCAUAAGCCAGCUUGACUGCGAGCGUGACGGCGCGAGCAGGUGCGAAAGCAGGUCAUAGUGAUCCGGUGGUUCUGAAUGGAAGGGCCAUCGCUCAACGGAUAAAAGGUACUCCGGGGAUAACAGGCUGAUACCGCCCAAGAGUUCAUAUCGACGGCGGUGUUUGGCACCUCGAUGUCGGCUCAUCACAUCCUGGGGCUGAAGUAGGUCCCAAGGGUAUGGCUGUUCGCCAUUUAAAGUGGUACGCGAGCUGGGUUUAGAACGUCGUGAGACAGUUCGGUCCCUAUCUGCCGUGGGCGCUGGAAGACUGAGGGGGGCUGCUCCUAGUACGAGAGGACCGGAGUGGACGCAUCACUGGUGUUCGGGUUGUCAUGCCAAUGGCACUGCCCGGUAGCUAAAUGCGGAAAAGAUAAGUGCUGAAAGCAUCUAAGCACGAAACUUGCCCCGAGAUGAGUCUUCCCUGAGACUUUGAGUCUCCUGAAGGAACGUUAAAGACGAUGACGUUGAUAGGCCGGGUGUGUAAGCGCAGCGAUGCGUUGAGCUAACCGGUACUAAUGAACCGUGAGGCUUAACCUUACAACGCCGAAG